CUUUGGUUUUAGGAUUUGAAAAAGGCAUGCCAGAUCACAAAAUCAUAUACUAGUAUACUAAUACUAUACAAUACACCCACAAGGUCAUUGGAAGAGAGAGAGAAAGGAGAAGAUGAUACACCGGAAAUGGAGUCUGCUAACGGGCCCAGUUGCAAUAUUGGGUUCAAUUGUGGCCACUGUCGUCGUCGCCAACUACCUCUUUAUCGAAAACGAUCCUUUCCUUAAACCAGUGCCACGGAAGCAAACUACGCCACCUUCAACCAAGUAAAGAAUGGGAUCGAAGAAAAAGUGCACAUCCUUGAUUGUAACAUGAGAUUGUGUUUGUUCAGUAUGUGAUUUGCUAAUUAUGUUUAAAGAUGCUGUAUGGAACUUGAGAACAUAGUUGAAUAAAGUUGAUAUUCUGAGUGGUUCAGCAAAGCCACUGUAGCA